rnacentral:rRNA from 1 species
UACGUAGGGUGCAAGCGUUAAUCGGAAUUACUGGGCGUAAAGCGUGCGCAGGCGGUCCGUUAAGACAGAUGUGAAAUCCCCGGGCUUAACCUGGGAACUGCAUUUGUGACUGGCGGGCUAGAGUAUGGCAGAGGGGGGGUAGAAUUCCACGUGUAGCAGUGAAAUGCGUAGAGAUGUGGAGGAAUACCGAUGGCGAAGGCAGCCCCCUGGGCCAAUACUGACGCUCAUGCACGAAAGCGUGGGGAGCAAACAGG